CUUUCGAAUGGCACAAGAAUUUUGAUGAUCCGGCAAUCCUAACUAAAGUUAUUAUCGUUUAAAAAAUAAUUACAUAACCUUUUAGUUCUAUGUCGCUUUUCGUGAAUGGUCACCGUGCAAGAAAAGCGUUGCCUCUUUUGCUUCAUAAGAACUCUGUAUUUACCUUGUGGGAAAGUCUGCAGUUAGUCUGUAUCUUUCAGUUUUGGCAUCCAAAUACAUUUUUGUAAUCGUUCAAAUCCAGAGUUUUUUUUUUGAAAAGGUCCUAUAACCUAUUGUCUUUUAUAUGUUUAUAGGACCUAAUCAAAAAAAUGUCGAGAAAUGCAAAGUCGGCCAUUAAAAAAAAUAAUUUCAUCUAAAAUAUUUGCCUGCAUUGAUAAAUGAUUAAAAUUAGCCAUAUUAAAUCUGUGUUGCAGUUCUUUAUAUUUAAAUUUAUCCUAUAAGAAAUGUCUGUAUUUAUCUUUUUCCUCUAGAACUGGCAUUACUGUUCGAGAGCUUAUCGAAUGUCAAACGUACUGCUCUUCGCAUCAAUGUUGUUGUUUACGUUUUUACUGUACCGUUUAUUUAAUUUUGUGAAAAGUUCGUGUACGGCGGGUCUGCUUUUGGUCACUGGUGAACCGACCAGAAAGUUAGAAGAGCAUUUAUAUUGUCAACGACGUAACAGCGGGAACCAGUGACUUAUAAGAUGCAGAAUGAGGCCCUCAAGCUGGUGUCCGUGAAGGGCACUUUGCCGUGUCAAUACUUAGCUUGGGAAGGCUCCCAUUCCGAAAACGGUUCAUGUCGAGCACUUCGAACCACUUCUUAACGGAUCGUUUUGAUCGGUAGUGCCGAGAACCCUCUGGACAACCGCGAAGUAUUUUCAACUCUAUUACCAAUUUCUACGGUUAGCAAACCCUGCUAAAUUGACCGUACUCUACAUUGCAUCUACCACUUCGAGCAGUCAUAAUUGGUUCACGCUGGGUGAUGCUGAAACUCGAGUCUGUCUUGCGGGCUGUAACGCUAGUGCACUUCCAGCGUUCCAUUAACCGGAAGUUGGGGAGACGACGUUCGUUUCAAUGAGCAGAUGCAAUCGAUGCUGAACGUUUGGUGGCACUUUAGCGUGGCGACUCAAAAGUUUCUUGAACCUAGAGAAGUGAUUGUGUGGUAUAACACUUUUGAAAGUUAAAGAAUUACAUAUAAUUCAAGUUCUUUCUGAUGAAAAAAUAUAUUUAAAAAAAAAACUGAAAACUGAUUUUUACUUUUAAAACAUAUUUUUUUUUUGUAAAACUGUUGAACUUGCCACAAACAUUGGAAUGUUGUUAAAAAAAGAAUUAAAAUUUGCUGUUCUGGUAAAAACAAUUUGGUAAAAACAACCUAAUAUACUAUUUGUCAGUGAGGAAGGCACCAACCACCUGAAGGUGGAUUAAGUAAGGUUUUUGCCUUCCUCACCUUACUGAGGAAAGGCUAUAAAAUCACUCGAAAAAUUAACUUUUUAAUUAGACCUCCUAGACCUACCUUCAUUUGUACAUAUCGGCUCAGAAUCACGAGCUGAGCAAAUGUCUGUGUGUUUGGCUGUAUGUAGACAUGUGUACCAAAUCAAUGUCACUGGAAUAUCUUGUCACAGGCUCAACCGAUUUUGGCCGGAAUGAUUUUAAUCGAUCCGUCUUUACGUCGCAUACGUUGCUAUUGAAAACUAUACAAAUUAGAUAAGUACUUCAAAAGUUAUACUCAAAAAACGGUUUCAUACAAAUUUCAAAUCGUUCAAAAAAGGGUGGUUUUCGAAAGAAAAUCUGUGAUGUUAUAUAUCAAAAGAAAGCGUUUCAAAAUUCCUUUCGAAUGGCACAAGAAUUUUGAUGAUCCGGCAAUCCUAACUAAAGUUAUUAUCGUUUAAAAAAUAAUUACAUAACCUUUUAGUUCUAUGUCGCUUUUCGUGAAUGGUCACCGUGCAAGAAAAGCGUUGCCUCUUUUGCUUCAUAAGAACUCUGUAUUUACCUUGUGGGAAAGUCUGCAGUUAGUCUGUAUCUUUCAGUUUUGGCAUCCAAAUACAUUUUUGUAAUCGUUCAAAUCCAGAGUUUUUUUUUUGAAAAGGUCCUAUAACCUAUUGUCUUUUAUAUGUUUAUAGGACCUAAUCAAAAAAAUGUCGAGAAAUGCAAAGUCGGCCAUUAAAAAAAAUAAUUUCAUCUAAAAUAUUUGCCUGCAUUGAUAAAUGAUUAAAAUUAGCCAUAUUAAAUCUGUGUUGCAGUUCUUUAUAUUUUAAUUUAUCCUAUAAGAAAUGUCUGUAUUUAUCUUUUUCCUCUAGAACUGGCAUUACUGUUCGAGAGCUUAUCGAAUGUCAAACGUACUGCUCUUCGCAUCAAUGUUGUUGUUUACGUUUUUACUGUACCGUUUAUUUAAUUUUGUGAAAAGUUCGUGUACGGCGGGUCUGCUUUUGGUCACUGGUGAACCGACCAGAAAGUUAGAAGAGCAUUUAUAUUGUCAACGACGUAACAGCGGGAACCAGUGACUUAUAAGAUGCAGAAUGAGGCCCUCAAGCUGGUGUCCGUGAAGGGCACUUUGCCGUGUCAAUACUUAGCUUGGGAAGGCUCCCAUUCCGAAAACGGUUCAUGUCGAGCACUUCGAACCACUUCUUAACGGAUCGUUUUGAUCGGUAGUGCCGAGAACCCUCUGGACAACCGCGAAGUAUUUUCAACUCUAUUACCAAUUUCUACGGUUAGCAAACCCUGCUAAAUUGACCGUACUCUACAUUGCAUCUACCACUUCGAGCAGUCAUAAUUGGUUCACGCUGGGUGAUGCUGAAACUCGAGUCUGUCUUGCGGGCUGUAACGCUAGUGCACUUCCAGCGUUCCAUUAACCGGAAGUUGGGGAGACGACGUUCGUUUCAAUGAGCAGAUGCAAUCGAUGCUGAACGUUUGGUGGCACUUUAG